rnacentral:rRNA from 1 species
UACAGAGGGGGCAAGCGUUAUUCGGAAUUAUUGGGCGUAAAGGGCGCGUAGGCGGCCUGGCAAGUGGAUGGUGAAAUCCCUCGGCUUAACCGAGGAACUGCCGUCCAAACUGCUUGGCUUGAGACCGGGAGAGGUGAGUGGAAUUCCCAGUGUAGCGGUGAAAUGCGUAGAUAUCGUGAGGAAGACCAGUGGCGAAGGCGGAUCUCUGGACAGCUCCUGACGCUGAGGCGCGAAGGCUAGGGGAGCAAACGGG